rnacentral:rRNA from 1 species
UACGGAGGGUGCGAGCGUUGUUCGGAAUCACUGGGCGUAAAGCGCGUGUAGGCGGCCUUUUAAGUUCGGUGUGAAAGCCCGGGGCUCACCCCCGGAAGUGCACUGGAUACUGAGAGACUAGAGUACCGGAGAGGAGGGUGGAAUUCCUGGUGUAGCGGUGAAAUGCGUAGAUAUCAGGAGGAACACCGGUGGCGAAGGCGGCCCUCUGGACGGCUACUGACGCUGAGACGCGAAAGCGUGGGGAGCAAACAGG